AUUGAACGCUGGCGGCAGGCCUAACACAUGCAAGUCGAGCGGAUGAAGGGAGCUUGCUCCUGGAUUCAGCGGCGGACGGGUGAGUAAUGCCUAGGAAUCUGCCUGGUAGUGGGGGAUAACGUCCGGAAACGGGCGCUAAUACCGCAUACGUCCUGAGGGAGAAAGUGGGUGAUCUUCGGACCUCACGCUAUCAGAUGAGCCUAGGCCGGAUUAGCUAGUUGGUGGGGUAAAGGCCUACCAAGGCGACGAUCCGUAACUGGUCUGAGAGGAUGAUCAGUCACACUGGAACUGGGACACGGUCCAGACUCCUACGGGAGGCAGCGGUGGGGAAUAUUGGACAAAGGGCGAAAGCCUGAUCCAGCCAUGCCGCGUGUGUGAAGAAGGUCUUCGGAUUGUAAAGCACUUUAAGUUGGGAGGAAGGGCAGUAAGUUAAUACCUUGCUGUUUUGACGGUACCAACAGAAUAAGCACCGGCUAACUUCGUG
rnacentral:rRNA from 1 species